AUCGAACGCUGGCGGCAGGCCUAACACAUGCAAGUCGAACGAGUGGCGGACGGGUGAGUAAUGUCCGGGAAACUGCCCGAUGGAGGGGGAUAACUACUGGAAACGGUAGCUAUUACCGCAUACCAUCGGAUGUGCCCAGAUGGGAUUAGCUAGUGGGUGGGGUAAAGGCUCACCUAGGCGACGAUCCCUAGCUGGUCUGAGAGGAUGACCAGCCACACUGGAACUGAGACACGGUCCAGACUCCUACGGGAGGCAGCAGUGGGGAAUAUUGCACAAUGGGCGCAAGCCUGAUGCAGCCAUGCCGCGUGUAUGAAGAAGGCCUUCGGGUUGUAAAGUACUUUCAGCGGGGAGGCGUUACCCGCAGAAGAAGCACCGGCUAACUCCGUGCCAGCAGCCGCGGUAAUUC
rnacentral:rRNA from 1 species